GACGUAGGGUCCAAGCGUUGUCCGGAUUUACUGGGCGUAAAGAGCGCGUAGGCGGCUCGUUAAGUGUAGAGUGAAAUCUCUGGGCUCACCCCAGAAACUGCUCUGCAUACUGGCGAGCUGGAGUGAUGAAGAGGUUUGUGGAAUUCCUGGUGUAACGGUGAAAUGUGUUGAUAUCAGGAGGAACACCCAUGGCGAAGGCAGCAAACUGGUCAUCAACUGACGCUGAGGCGCGAAAGCGUGGGUAGCAAACGAGGAU
rnacentral:rRNA from 1 species